rnacentral:rRNA from 1 species
AUUGAACGCUGGCGGCAGGCCUAACACAUGCAAGUCGAGCGGAUGAAGGGAGCUUGCUCCUGGAUUCAGCGGCGGACGGGUGAGUAAUGCCUAGGAAUCUGCCUGGUAGUGGGGGAUAACGUCCGGAAACGGGCGCUAAUACCGCAUACGGCCUGAGGGAGAAAGUGGGGGAUCUUCGGACCUCACGCUAUCAGAUGAGCCUAGGUCGGAUUAGCUAGUUGGUGGGGUAAAGGCCUACCAAGGCGACGAUCCGUAACUGGUCUGAGAGGAUGAUCAGUCACACUGGAACUGAGACACGGUCCAGACUCCUACGGGAGGCAGCAGUGGGGAAUAUUGGACAAUGGGCGAAAGCCUGAUCCAGCCAUGCCGCGUGUGUGAAGAAGGUCUUCGGAUUGUAAAGCACUUUAAGUUGGGAGGAAGGGCAGUAAGUUAAUACCUUGCUGUUUUGACGUUACCAACAGAAUAAGCACCGGCUAACUUCGUG